rnacentral:rRNA from 1 species
ACGGGAGGCAGCAGUGGGGGAUAUUGCACAAUGGGGGAAACCCUGAUGCAGCGACGCCGCGUGAGUGAAGAAGUAUUUCGGUAUGUAAAGCUCUUUAAGUUGGGAAGAUAAUGACGGUACCAACAAAAUAAGCCCCGGCUAACUACGUGCCAGCAGCCGCGGUAAUACGUAGGGGGCAAGCGUUAUCCGGAUUUACUGGGUGUAAAGGGAGCGUAGACGGCAUAGCAAGUCUGAAGUGAAAUCAUAGGGCUCAACCCUGUAAUUGCUUUGGAAACUGUUAAGCUCGAGUACCGGAGGGGCAGGCGGAAUUCCUGGUGUAGCGGUGAAAUGCGUAGAUAUCAGGAAGAACACCGGUGGCGAAGGCGGCCUGCUGGACGGUAACUGACGUUGAGGCUCGAAAGCGUGGGGAGCAAACAGGAUUAGAUACCCUGGUA